rnacentral:tRNA from 1 species
GGAUGUAGCUCAGUGAUAGAGUACUUGCCUAGUAUGUGUGAGGCCCUGGGUUUGAUCCCUAGCACAUCCA